UCCCAGGUGGUCUAGUGGUUAGGAUUCGUGGCUCACAUCCACGCGGACCGGGUUCGAUUCCCGGUCUGGGAA
rfam:Ciona savignyi cont_26591, whole genome shotgun sequence.